rnacentral:rRNA from 1 species
CUAUACCGCGUGUGUGAUGAAGGUCUUAGGAUUGUAAAACACUUUCAGCAAGGGAAAAAAUUAUAUAAAUAAUACUUAUAUUAACUGAUAUUACCUGCAAAAGAAGUACCGGCUAACUCCGUGCCAGCAGCCGCGGUAAUACGGAGGGUACAAGCGUUAAUCGGAAUUAUUGGGCGUAAAGAGUACGUAGGUGGUAUAUUAAGUCAGAUGUGAAAUACUUAAGCUUAACUUAAGAACUGCAUUUGAAACUAAUAAACUAGAGUUUUAUAGAGGGGAGUAGAAUUCCAAGUGUAGCGGUGAAAUGCGUAGAUAUUUGGAGGAAUACCAGAGGCGAAGGCGACUCCCUGGGUAAUAACUGACACUGAGGUACGAAAGCUUGGGGAGCAAACAGGAUUAGAUACCCUGGUAGUCCAUGCUGUAAACGAUGUCAAUUUGAAGAUUGUAAUAUUAUUAUUUUUUAUAAUUUUCGUAGCUAACGCAUUAAAUUGACCGCCUGGGGAUUACGACCGCAAGGUUAAAACUCAAAUGAAUUGACGGGGACCCGCACAAGCGGUGGAGCAUGUGGUUUAAUCCGAUACAACGCGAAAAAACUUACCUACUCUUGACAUCCUAAUAAAGUAA